AGUUCUAAUCAAUAUCCUAAAAUUAUAUAUGUUUUGUUUCGGCCAAAAUUAAGGAGUAAGUCCUUAGGAUUU
rnacentral:tRNA from 1 species